GGGAAUGUAGCUCACUGUUAGAGCACUUGCCUAGCAUAUAUGAAUCCCUGGGUUCAACCUUCAGCACUUCCA
rnacentral:tRNA from 1 species